GAAAUUAAAUCAACAAAGUAUCAUACAGAUUGUAAAGUAGAACAAAUCAAAGAUUUAGAAAAAAUUAACUAGAAGAAAAAAAAUAAACUAAUCAACUAUUCCAAUGAAGUAAAAACAAUUAACAAGGAAUAACAAUUAACUUAAUCAAAGAAAAAUUCUCAAGUUUAUUUAAGCUUCAACAGCGGCCUCAGGGGAGGCUUCGAUGAAUUAAAAUUCAUCGUUUCCGGUAGUGACAACCGUACAAGGGAGAGGGAAAAAGGAGGGAAAGGAUCAUGGAUUACAAAAAUCUCGAAGUGCCCCUGAGGCCAAAAUUACAUAUUCAGAUAAAUAGGAAAGAGAAAAAAAAUUGGGUAUUCAAUAAAGAAGUUUUCCAUAAUGGAACAAUUUUUAAAUUACGAACUAAACGUUCAAUUUUUAAAUUAUGAACUAAACGUUCAAUGUUAUAAAUCAUAAGAUAAGAACCAUGCGGUCCUACCUAUUUUGUUUGUUUUGUUGUUGUUUUUUUUUUGAUACUUACUUGGUGUCAAGUUGUUCUACCAACACUUGUAUACGAACUUUUUCACAAAUAAGUUGAUUCAAAUUCCAAUAUUAAUCAAUUAAUUAAAAAAGAAAACAUGUUAAUAAACAAUCAAGUCAACGCAACAAGAGAAAAAACUGAAAUUCUAUUGCAACGCCAUCUAGUGGGUUAACUUUAAUUGAGAGAAACUGAUUAGAAUUUUUUUUAAAUUCGUUUCCAAUUGUUGAUUAAUUUUCACUUGAAAUCAGUUUAAUUAAAUUAUUUUCUUUUAUUUUUACUUUUGAUUUUGAUUCAAGAUGGAAUCAGUUAAUUCUCCAUAUUUUUAAAUCUUAUUAAAUUCGUCAAAUGUUAAUAUGAUUCUUGUUACUAUCAUUAGACUGGUUAACUGUAUUAUUGGUCAAGUUAUUCAAAUUACAAACCAGUAAUUUUCGUGCCUAAUGUCAUGUCCAUUUGUAAAUUUAGUUUCUUUGUCUUCUGUCCUUGGAUUUACUAUUAAAUACUACAGUUGAUACCAACAAUUUACUAACUUAAGGUGAUUUGUUUAGAACUGUUCAUCUAUCGAAUUCGAUUUCAGUCUUCUUCCACUUGUUAUUCAGAUUUUACGUUGCGUUAAUGGUAAUACGAUUCUCUCGUCAAUAUUUUUCCAUCUCAACAUUGGACUAAUUUAUUUUCCAUCUCAACAACAAAUAAUUUCUUUUCCAUGUUGAUUCUGUCAUGUUUGUGAAUACACUUUUGGUUAAACAGUAAACGUUUUCUUGGGCAACUAUUGAUUAUAAUUGUUACCUUGCAAUCAAUCAUGGAAAGAAAAGAGAAUUCAAAGAAAAGGAAAAAAAAGGUUGUCACGAAGGGAAGAAAGUGGUCACCAAUCCUUCUUGAUCCUUUGUUUUUGUUACCACCUCAACCCAACAUCUAACAAUAGUAUUAAAUUUCAAUGGUAGUCAUAAAAAGGAAGUUGGAAAUAAGAAGGAUAAAGGAGGAUAUUGGUGGAAAAAAGUAAAAUGGAGAAGAAAAAACAAAAGGUAAAUUUCAAGUGAUGCUGAAAUUUGAAGAUGAAGUCAAGCGAUUUCUACCUGGUACUUGGGAGUCAUUGAUUCUUCUGUUAUAUGUGAACAUUUAUAUAAAUGGAAAAGUGAACAAAAAGAAGACGAAUAUAUAAAAAAAAGAGAGGAGUAAAACGGAAAACAUGGAAUAAGAAGAAGAAAAUCAAGAUCAAGAGGAGCAGAAGAAAACAAGAAGAAGGAGGAUAAACACUGAGAAAAUCGUAGUUCUAGAUAAUAUCUAGAGUAAAGGUGAAGAAAAAAUUCAAGAGACUGUUUUACUUUUUCUCUUUCUCUGUUCAAUUAAUUGGUUUUUGAGUCGAAAACAACUUGAGAAAUGGAACAACAACAAUAACGAUAAAUAGUAUCAACAGAGAGAAUCUAAAGAGAGAGAAAAAGAAACCCAACGAAAGAAGAAAAUCAAACUAAUUCAUUAGAAAAUCAAGAAGACAAAUUAUGAUGGCACAGCGAGGAAGAAAAUCGUGAAGUAAAAAAAAGAAAAAUGGCUCUAAGAAAUGUAUAGAUUCAUCUUCCCACCUUUACUCCAACUUAACUGCUUUUAGUUUUAAAGGUUCUCCUCAUACCCUGGGAGUGAGAAAGGUAAAGGACUGACAGGUAAAAUGAAGCGAUUGACUGUGAAUGUUGGUUCAAGCUUGAAACUCGUAUGCAUGAUACCAGAGGAGGAAAAAGGAAAGAGUAAGUUACAGUUUUUAGUGCAUACAUUAUAUGGCAUCUUGGGAAUUUUUAUUCAAGAAAGUUCACAGAGAAUAAUUUGAUAGAAGAGAGUAAACCAGAGUGAGAAGGCAGAAAGGAUAUAAGACAAAAAGAAUAAAAAUCAAAACUAAUCAAAAAGAUUUUCUC